rnacentral:misc_RNA from 1 species
GCAUGAUCGGGCAUGGUGGCUAUGCGAGUUGGCCGUGGUUGAUUCCUGCAUUAAAAGACUUAUUUGACGUUUACAAGCGACGAAUGUUCCAAGGAGGCAUGUCUUCUGUCACCCCAUCAUCUCCUUCUACCAGAGAAACCUCUAAUUAUGCUCAGCUGUGUCGCCUUUUUGUUGAGGUAGGAUCUUGUGUGUUGAGGGAUACAUUUGACAGACUAUGUCCACCAAAAGACCUUCCUGCAUUUCUGGCUCAAAACAAAACAAAAUUACAAACACUUCGAAAGGAAAGAGUCCUGAGUAUCUCCCAGUGGCAUAGACUGUAUCCUGCUGUCAGAUCAUCAGUUUCCUCAAGGGACUAUGACAGUUCCCUACUGCUAUGUCUUCUGAGGAAUAUUGUUGAUCAGACUCUUCCUGUCUCUGGCUGGAGUAACCUGCCUGGAUCAGACACCCGUGUAGAAGCUGACAUCACUGGCAUCAAGAUCCUCAGGGACAGAGUUUACAGUCAUGUUACUCAUGCUUCAGUUGAUGAUUCAAAAUUUAGUCUACACUGGAAUGACAUCAAAGAAACCUUCGUACGUAUUGGAGGGGCCCACUAUGAGAAUGUUAUUAAUGAUCUUAAAAUUGACCACCUAGAAGCAGACUUUGAGGAACAUUACCGAGAACUUUUCAGAGAGUGGUUGAAGGAUGAUGACUGCAUCACAGACAAAAAUAAUGGAGAUAAAACAGUGAAAAAAGCCUCUAAGGAAGAGGUCAGGGAGGGCUCCAUUGGCAUUUCUGGACAACAAUCUGGGAUGGAAGAAGUGGUACUAACGCCAGUGGAAAAAAAAUCAGCAGAGAAUUGCAGUGCUAGCCCACCAGAAAUCAGUGAGAAACUUCCAACUUUUAGUGAUCUUCCAAACAUCUCUCAUCAUUGGAACAAUAUUGAACUCCCUGUUGAUAUUCUAUUGUUAACAGAGGAGGACUGCGAGUUCUUAAGCUGCUUUGCCUACCUGAAAGAACCUAUUAGGAGUUACAACAAAAAUAUUGGCUUUGUUUACUUUGGGUGCAUUGGUGAUGAUAAAGGAAAGAAAAUGAAAAUAGCACUAAUGAGGUGCCCUAAAGGUCUUGCUGUUCCUGGGGAUUUUUUGUCUGUUUUGAGAGAUGCCAUCUCUCUACUGAGACCCAAGGUUAUUUUUUCUGUUGGUGCAUGCAGUGGUUUCAACAGCAGAAAGGUCAAGCUUGGAGAUGUAGUUGUUUCAUCAAAGCUGAUAUCAGCUGCACCAAAAACUCCCCCCAGCAGAGAAAUUGGUAACCUGAUCAAAUAUGUGGCAGAUGGGUGGAAGGCACCUUUACAAAAUGCUGAUGAAUAUAAUGCCAAAGUGCACUGUGAUGGAGUGGUUCUGAGUAUCUCAGAGGCAAACAAGGACAUGAUUGGCCAACAUCCUGAAGCAAUUGCAGUUGAAAUGGAAGGUGUAGGGUCUCAUUUGUUUGACUUUAAGAUGGAAUGGGUGUUUGUCAAAGGCAUCAAAGACUUUGUGGAUGACAGGCAUUCUUCAAGUGAGAAAUGGACUCAAAUUGCAUGUGUGAUGGCGGCAUCUGUUGUGGCAAACAUUUUGAGUGAUCCAGUCAUAUUCCAAGAUUGGCGUCACUUUACUACAGAUACCAGUGAAUCACACACUCCAGGCAAUCCUGGUAAAGGUAGCUUUAUGGCUACGGCUCCAUCGCCAUUUGUGUCUACGAAAGAGACUGCGAACUAUGCAAUGCUAUGCCGCCUUCUGGUGAGUGUUGGAUCCCAGGUACUGCGGUCCACUUUUGACAAGAUACAUCCACCAGCGACUCUACGCAGAGUUUUGGGAGGAACCUCUGUGCAUUACGCCACAUUACAAUCACUGUACAAAGGGAAGAAGAAAGUGCUGAAUUCCAUGCAAUGGGCGAAGUUGUAUCCCGCUCAUUCACCCGUGUCCUCAGCAACCUUCGAUAUCACACUUCUAACGGUGCUGCUGAGAAACAUCUGUGGUUUGAGCCCUCCUGCCACAGGAUGGGAUCAUCUUCCCCCAGCUUCAAACACAAGCAUCGCAGAUGACAUUGCUAGAUUGAAGUAUUACAGAAACACUGUACACGGCCACGCCUCUCAAGCUUCUGUGGAUGACAUUAGCUUCAGUGCUUACUGGCUGGAAAUACGAGAAGCUCUUGUGAGACUGGGAGGAGCGCAUUUUCAAGCCUCUAUCGACAAUCUUGAACACGACUGCAUGGAUCGGGAUAUCGAAGAGCAUUAUUGUGAACUGAUGAAGCAGUGGAAGAAAGACGACGAUAGCAUCAAGGACAAACUUGAGGAGAUUGAAGAGUCGCUAGAAAAGAUGAGAGCCAUGUGGAGAAAACAAUUGAAAAGCUUGGUAGUCUGACGGCCUCAGAGGAAAAAAACGCGGAUCAAGUUUCUGCUUUAGCGUACCUUUGUGUGCACCGCAGUCGCGAAGCCUGGUUUGGCGCACACGCUUCCCGGAAAACUUCUCCGCCAUGUCUACAUUGAUCUCGCGUUACUCUUCGAAACUAGUCUCCAAGUAUGUGAUGUAAUUUGCAGUGCGCAAUGAUUUGUCGCAUUAGCUGGCCUCAAGUGGAGUUUUCAGGACUGAAGUCUGGUUCAAGUAAAUUUCAAAUGAUGAAACGAAAAUCGGGUGACUUGACGAGCGGGCUUCCACAUAACAAGAGACCUAGGAUGGAAGGUAAACGUUUUUUAUGUUGUAAAUGUUAAUAUAUGUAUGUUCUGUGAAGCCAAAAGGAGACACAAUUCUUAAUUAAAUUAUUGGGGGUGAUCAGAACAAACAGCUGCAAAGCCAAAUGUCGUGUCUUCUUCCGCCAAGAAUAACAACGAAUUGUUUCUUUAGUUUAUUUUGUAGGUCUCGUGAUUUAAAGGUUUCCAAGUGUAGUCACGAAAUCUCGAGUUUUUGGUCCGUGUUUUCAUUAUUCCUCCCUUGGAGGUUUAUAAGUUCUAAAUUUUUCUGUCGCUGUGGCGCGGAGGUUCUUCAAUUCAAGGGUUUUUAGGUGGUGUUUUUUGCUUGAGAGCGCUGAAUGUGCUUUGAAAUGAAUACACGUCUUUCUUAUGAUGAUGUAUGCACGUGUUCAAAAGGAAGGCACGAGAUGGGAGAACGCACAAAGCUUUGGGAUCCCCUUAAAAACACGAAGGACUUUGAGAACGCUUACUUUCCCGAGGUUCGUGGGCGAGAAGUCCACGCAUACAUCAUAAGAACAUGUAUGCUUAAUGUAAAUUAACAAGUAGAAUGACGACUACGAAUGAAGAACUCUUGUUUUCCUAUGCGGUGGCAUGUGUACAUCGAACAUGAUAAACGCAGGCCGGAAAUGACCUAGCGAGGAUCAUAACAUGGGUUUUAGAGGAACGGGGGGUGGUCAGCCGUCGCCAAUAAAUUAUAAAGAAGGGGAAACUAAAUAAGUCCCUUUUUCUUUCGACGACACUACGAUUUAUUCGAGAAAAAAAAAAGAUAGGGGAACGUGAUUAGUUUCCGUUUAAAAAUUCUAAGCUAUAUCCAAGUUACCGUAAUUAUUCGAUUUAGUGCCUAGACCCUUAUUUACUUUUGAUACCACAAGGAAAGUUGCUAAUUCCAAACACGGCGCUCAUUAGGAACAGGGCGCUUAUUUUUCUUUUCAGAAAGAGUGGUCGUUUGUAAAAAUCUAGCAGAGGUGUUGAAAAUAAAAAAAUUGAAAUUUUUUCAAAUGUUGCCAGAAUAUAGGUAUGAAUGGCCUUAGUUACGGGAAAAUAUAAAAAAUGCCGAAAAAAAAUUAUUUUGGGAGAACAGUGGCAUUUUAUGUUUUGGGGGUUUAUAACCAUGAUUUCCUGGUAAAAUAGUACACCUCAAGAUAAUGGCCGAAAAAAAUUUAUUCCGCCAGCAAUUCGGAAUAACAAUUACACAAUAACAGAAUAAUAACAAUUCUAAAAUUCAGGUAAAAUUUCACCCAUAGAAACAUAGCUCAGCUUUGGCGACUAAAAUUGGCCAUUGUUACAUGGUUCCAUAAACUGUGACAAUAACUAUUGUCAAGAACAAGGCUCUUCUUUUAGAAACUGCAAUAGAACGUUUGGACUACUUAAACUACGAAUUUUUAAAGCGAUUUAUAUAAAAAGACGUAAAGACAGCAGAGUGACAAUAACUCUCAAAAGAGAAACAACAACUU